rnacentral:rRNA from 1 species
GAUGAACGCUGGCGGCGUGCCUAAUACAUGCAAGUCGAGCGAACAGACCAUGAGCUUGCUGCUUUGACGUUAGCGGCGGACGGGUGAGUAACACGUGGAUAACCUACCUAUAAGACUGGUAUAACUUCGGGAAACCGGCGCUAAUACCGGAUAAUAUUUUGAACCGCAUUGUUCGAAAGUAAAAGACGGUGUUGCUGUCACUUAUCGCUGCAUCCGCGCUGUAUUAGCUAGUUGGUAAGGUAACGGCUUACCAAGGCAACGAUGCGUAGCCGAACUGAGAGGGUGAUCGGCCACACUGGAACUGAGACACGGACCAGACUCCUAAGGGAGGCAGCAGUAGGGAAUCGUCCGCAAUGGGCGAAAGCCUGACGGAGCAACGCCGCGUGAGUGAUGAAGGUCUUCGGAUCGGAAAACUCUGUUAUUAGGGAAGAACAGAUGUGGAAGGAACUGUGCACUUCUUGACGGUACCUAAUCAGAAAGCCACGGCUAACUACGUG